CUGGACGGGGAGCUCUCCUCCUCUGUUCCGCCCCGUCGGCUGAAUGCGCACGCGCGGCAAGAGCUGCGCGCGCAUUCAGCCGGUCGCAUAGGAAAGCAUUUACAAUGCUUUCCUAUGGACACUGGCGUGCUCUCACUGUGAAAAUCACAGUGAGAAGCACGCAAGCGCCUCUAGUGGCUGUCAAUGAGACAGACACUAGAGGAUUAGGGGGAAGGCUU